UAAAAAAAGCUUUUUAAAACCAAGUUCAUAGACACAGAGAACAAAUUGGUGGUUGCCAGAGGUGCAGAGUGAGGGGUGGGCAAAAUGGGUGAAGGCACACAAAAGGUACGAACUUCCAGUUAUAUAGUAAAGUCAUGAGAAUGUAAAGUACAGCAUGGUGACUGUACUUGAUAAUACUGUAUUGCAUAUUUGAAAGUUGCUAAGAGAAUAGAUCUUAAAAGUUCUCAUUACAUGAAAAAAAAAUUGCACCUCUGCACGGUGUUGCAUGUUAACUAGACUUUGUAGCUAUCGUUUUGCAAUAUAUACAAAUAUCGAAUCGUUGCACAACUAAAAUUAAUAUAUGUCAGUUAUAUCUCAAUAAAAAUAAUAAAUUUAAAAAUUCAUAGAUGAUGACAGGGCCCCUCCGUCUGACCUACUAGUGCCAACUGUCUGGGUUAGAGGGGAAGAAGCUGCUGUAUCCUGUGCUCCCCUCUCUCUGCCCAGAGACACCUCUUGAGUUAUUUCCCACAUCCUGCAGGUCUAGGGCCCUAGCUCACUAGAAACAUCAGGAAGCCAAAUGGAUCACUAGCACUUCUGCCAUCAGCUAACUGCAGGACCAGCAGCUUUUUUGGGUGCUGCACCUGCCUCCCACACACUCCUGCCGGGUUUGUUUGCUUGGGAGGACCGGAGCAGAAUUCGGUUCAGCUCAAAGAACUGUGCUAGAUCUUGGUUUCAAAUGUCAUUUUCCAGUAAAAGAAGCGAAGUCUCCUUGGGAAAAUGGCUAGUUCUGAAGCUGGGGCAGGGAAGAUACAGGCUAAACCUGGAGCAUCUUGCAGUACGAGGAAGUAAGUGCGUGCUUACUGCUGAAAACAAGUGCUGAGCCUGCCACUGAAGACUGGCAGCUCCACUGCUCAGGCCACUGAAGGGAUAGCAGCCGCCACUGGGUGUCUUCAGCUGCUCUUCCACACGCUCUUCAACAGAGAAUGGAAGUAAGCUUGUCAGAAAGUAAAUAUCAGCUCUGAAAGAAAGAAAUGAAUAAUGCUAUCUGUAGACACUAUCCCUUCUACAUAGGAGGUGGAGCUUAGUCCACCUUUGAGAGGGGGUUAAACACAAUGACUUGCUCCCAAAGAAGAGAGUAGGGAGAGAACAAACACUGCCUUCACCAAGUGAUGACGGUUCACAUCCCCAGUGAUGCCAUGUGCAGAUCAUGCCUGACAUGUGAGGAUAAGGGCACUUCACCUCUGUGGUAUUCUUCCCCAAAACCAUAAUCUUAGUCUAAUCAUGAGAAAACAGACAAAUCCAAUUUAGGGGCAUUUCUACAGGAAACUUGGCCAGUACCCAUCAGGACUGUCAAGGUCAUAAAAACAAGAAAAGACUGAAAAAUGCUCACAGACUGGGAAGACAUGUAAACUAAAUGCAGUGUGGUGUCCUGGUCUGCAUCAGAACAGAAAGAGGACAUUAAUACAAAAACUGGUGAAACCCAAAUAAAGUCCGGAGUUUAGUUAAUUGUAAUAAGCCAAUGCCGUUUUAGUUUUAGCAAAUGUACCAUGGAAAUGUACAAUGUAAAUGACUGGGCAAAUUGGGUGAGGGGUACACAGGAACUCGGUACUAUCUUUGCAACUUUCUGUGAAUCUAAAAUUAUUUAAAAAUAAAAACGCUAUUUUUUUUAAGAAAGCACUAGCUGGGCAGGAGAAGGGAUGCAAAGACAAGACAGUCACUGCCCUCGACCUUCAGCCUGCCUAUGUGAGGGAGGCGCAACUUGGGAUUUACCACAAGCCAGGAGUUCCACACCUAAUGAAUAGACCAAACCCAGCCCAUUGUCAACAGAGAAGAGUCCAUCUCAAACAUAAAAGAUUUUAAAUCAAAAUGGAUGUUAGAGGAGCAUGAUUCCUGGCAUUGUUGGGCAGCCAGCAUUGUCUCUAGCAGCUGACAGGAUCCCAGCUUCACCUUCACACGCAGGCCUCAGGCAGUUCCAGGCACCCCUUCAUGCCAGCAAAACGGAUAAACAAUUCUACUUUAAAUCUUUACACCACAUCAUGUCGGAGCAGAGAACAUAUUUCUUCUAAUAGCUGUCACAGAACAGAAAGAAAGCUUCUCUUUUCAAAAAAAUGUUUUCUUGUCCUUUGCUGUAAUUGAGCAAUGUGGCCAGUAAGGACUUACCCCUGCAGGUGGGCUUAGGUCAGUCCCACCCAACCUAUGACUCAAGAGUAAGGCAGUGGACAGGUCCCCAGGGGAAGAUGAGAGUAGGAAAUGAAUAAGGGAUGGAAGAUGUUCACUACAAGUCUCUACUAGAUGACAAGUGCCACACUGCACUGUGGGGAUAUAAUCCUCAAAGUCUUAAUUCCUUCCCUCCAGGAGCUCACAACCUAGAGGAGGAGACAGACAGUUAUAACAGCACAAGGAGAGAAACAUGUACAUGAGAGUAUAGAGGACGGUUACCCUAUUUGGCCAGGCAGAAGGGUAAAGAGGCACAAAAGAGUAGGACUAGGGGUUUGUCAUGGGCUUCCUGAAAGAGGUGAAUCUUGAAGGAUAAGUAAAGCUUUAUCAAGUGAAGAAGGAGAGAAGGAAUUUCCAGGCACAGAGCACCACAUGAUCCAAGGCACAGGAAAUGCAAGUCGUUCAGAAUGACUGAAACAUAAAGUACAUGGAGGGAUGGGGAGAGGAGGAAACAGUCGGAAGAGCGAUGAGGUGUGAGGCUGCAGAGGCCAGCAGACCCCAAAUCAGGUCAGAUUUAGGCUGAGAUCCACGUGGCAGCGGCAUGAACGCAAAAGUUGAAAACUGGGGCAAGAGUAGAGAAUAAGGAAAAGAGCAGGCAGAAGGAAAGGAACCAGGAAAGAGUCUGAAAAUGUGUUAGAGAGGUAGAAGGAUGCAGGCAAAAUUGAAGAAAACAACAUUUCAAAAGGAAAAGAUAGAAAGUGACAGUUGCUGCAAAGAGAUUAGGCCACAUAAGACCUGAGGAGACUUGCGAUUAGUAAUUGAUGUUGACCUUGACGUCGGACAGAGCUGCUUCAGUGAUGGUGGAAGGAUUGCUUGGAAUUUAGUGAAUGGCAGUUAAAAGUUGAAGCGAUGAUAGUGGGCUACUCUUUCAAGACAUUUAAAUUUUGCAAAAAAAUACGUACCCAAAUACUUAGAAUAUGCACUCAGGAAGUUCCCUUCAGAAAUUUGUACUAAAGAAAUAGUCAGGAGUAUGUGCAAAGAUUUAUUUACAAAGGUUGUAUUAUAAUGUUAAUUAUAGCAAAUAAUUGAAAAUAAACCUAUGAUUAUCUUUUAAAACAGGUAAAUUACAAUGCACCCAUACAAUGGAAAUUUUAAUGCGAUGAUUAAAAAUCAUGUUGUAGAAGAAUACUUACUGACACAAGAAAGUGUCAGGUUACAAAACAGACCGUCCAGAAUGCUCUCAUGUUGAAAUAAAUGAAUACUCUAAUAGCAUAGAAAUAAGAUUGGAAGGAUAUAAACCAAAAUGUUAAUACUGGUGGUUACCUCUGCUAGUGUGAUUAUGGGUGUUUGAAACAUGUUUGACUAUUUGUACUUCCCCCCCCCUUUUUUUUUUGAGGAAG